rnacentral:rRNA from 1 species
UGACCGUGCUAAGGUAGCAUAAUCAUUUGCCUUUUAGUUGGAGGCUGGRAUAANUGGAGAGACGUUGUCUCGUCUUUUUUGGCCCAUGAAAUUGAACUUGAUAUUUGCUUCAAAAAGAGCAACUAUCUGGAGAGACGAUAAGACCCUAUAAAACUUUAUCUGUAACAAUGACUUACAUUUAGGCUGCAAGGGUUUAGAAGGAUUGAGCUGGGGCGGCAUUCAAAGAACCUUGAAAGAUAUAACACAUCCAAGUGACCAUAGAGAUCUUAACCAAAGGUGGAACAAGUUACUUUAGGGAUAACAGCGCAAUUCUCUCGUAUAGCUCUUAUAGAAGAGAGAGACUUGCGACCUCGAUGUUGAAUUGAGGGGCCGGGGCUAAGUAGAAAUAGCUUUAGGGGGUCUGUUCGACCCAUUAUACCUCA